rnacentral:rRNA from 1 species
UACGUAGGGUCCGAGCGUUGUCCGGAAUUACUGGGCGUAAAGAGCUCGUAGGUGGUUUGUCGCGUUGUUCGUGAAAACUCACAGCUCAACUGUGGGCGUGCGGGCGAUACGGGCAGACUGGAGUACUGCAGGGGAGACUGGAAUUCCUGGUGUAGCGGUGGAAUGCGCAGAUAUCAGGAGGAACACUAGUGGCGAAGGCGGCUCACUGGACCGGAACUGACGCUGAGGCGCGAAAGCGUGGGGAGCAAACAGG